CCAAAUUAUGGAGAUCAAAGACGUCUUGAAAUCUCCGCCCAAGCAACAACGCUCAAUCGCCGGCACUAUUAUAAAGGAUGAGGCACCACGAGAAGUUGGCGACCCCACCAACUCAGUUCUAGUUAGGAAUCUGAUAAUGCAAGAUUCUACUGAGAAGAUUGAAGUGGCGCUCUGGCGUGCUAAUUCCAACCAAGAUAUAAAAAUAGGGGACUAUAAUCCAUCGCUAUGUAUAAUGUCAAAACCUCGAACCGUGAUGGUGUAAUAGGCCUGAACUAUAACACCAACUCGCGCCUGGAACACAAGACCAAGCCAGAUGAUCGCAGAGACGUGGUAUUUAUUGCAGUUGACGAUGUUUCAUCAAACACAACUACUCUGCUAGCUGAGGAAACACUCCAGCAAUAUGUCAUUCCUACAAACCACCUCAAUGAUACCGUCCUCAAGUUGGCAGAUCCUACAGUAGAUGCCAUCGAAGAGGUACUGCUGCAACUACUUCCCCUCAACGUUGAGGUUACAGCACAGGGCAACAUAAUCACCUCCAUUGUGCAAUAAGUCAAUUAAAUACACAACCACAAUGAUAAUGGAUAUCUAUAUCAAACUAUGACAGC